rnacentral:rRNA from 1 species
CCUACGGGUGGCAGCAGUGGGGAAUAUUGGACAAUGGGGGGAACCCUGAUCCAGCGACGCCGCGUGAGUGAAGAAGUAUUUCGGUAUGUAAAGCUCUAUCAGCAGGGAAGAAAAUGACGGUACCUGACUAAGAAGCCCCGGCUAACUACGUGCCAGCAGCCGCGGUAAUACGUAGGGGGCAAGCGUUAUCCGGAUUUACGGGGUGUAAAGGGAGCGUAGACGGUUAAUCAAGUCAGAGGUGAAAACCCAGGGCUCAACCUUGGGACUGCUUUUGAAACUGAGUAGCUAGAGUGCUGGAGAGGUAAGCGGAAUUCCUAGUGUAGCGGUGAAAUGCGUAGAGAUUAGGAGGAACACCAGUGGCGAAGGCGGCUUACUGGACUGUAACUGACGUUGAGGCUCGAAAGCGUGGGGAGCAAACAGGAUUAGAUACCCUGGUAGUC